CCACUAAGUCAUUCUCUACAACACCAUAUGAGAUAUGGAAAGGAUGUAAGCCUAACCUUAAACAUAUUAGGGUUAGGGGUUGUCCAACUUAUGUUAAGAGACUACAGUCUGAUAAACUUGACUCAAGAUCUGAUAAGUGUACGUUCAUUUGGUAUCCCAAGGAAACAAGGAGAUAUUAUUUCUAUCACCCUUCUGACCAAAGUGUUUGUGGCUAGAGGAGCAACCUUUUUGGAAAGGGAAUUCCUUUUGGAAGGAAAUUAUAAUGGGGAGAUAAUCACCCUUCUGACCAAAGUGUUUGUGGCUAGAGGAGCAACCUUUUUGGAAAGGGAAUUCCUUUCGGAAGGAAAUUAUAAUGGGGAGAUAGAACUUGAUGAAGAUCAAGAAACUAAUGAGUCAACACAAUAUGAAGAUCAUGAGAUCCAAGUUGAAGAACCUUUAUUGGAUGUUCUGAAGUUGCCAAGGAAAAUGCCAUCUUCAACGUUUGAAGUUCAAGAACUAAAUGAAGUUCAAGAACAAGUUAUGAACCAGUUCCAAACCAAAUUGAGCAACAACGAAAUCCAACACAAGGUGAACAGGUUGUACAAGUACCUCUUCGAAGGUCUACACGAGAACGUCAUGUACCAACUAGAUUAAAUUUAUUGGUACAAGAUGAUUUAUCAAAUGAGUUUGAUCAUAAUGAUGAUGACCCUAAGACCUAUGAAGAGACUAUACAAAGUUCUGAUUAUGAGAAGUGGCAAAAGGCCAUGGAAUCCAUGAAGGAAAACAAAGUAUGGACUUUAGUUGAACCAUCAAAGGAUAUAAAACCUAUAGGUUGUAAAUGGGUUUUUAUGAAAAAGAUUGGAGCAGAC
rnacentral:lncRNA from 1 species